UGUGCACAAUCAAGAUCAAAGUAAAAUGUGCGCCGUAUGCGUAAUAUUUUUAAUGUUUUAGCAAAUAAUUUUAUUUUCUGGAAUACCUCUCUAUGACUCUUCAGCUGCCUGCUUUUCAGGAAGGCUUAAACUUAGAAGUUGGAUUGUUGAUUUGAAUUAUGCCGAGAAACAAUAAUGAUCAGAUUUCAUAUUCUUGGAGGUCCCGGAGAAUAGUGGAUGACCAGCUUGCAGAUUUGAUUCUUGAUGGUGGAAGAAGAUGUUGAUGCAGUAUCUUUGAUUAGAACCUGCUUUACUGUAACUCUGUGAUUUUACGGUCACUUGGAUGCUUUCGGAUUGUUCAGAGUUGAUUUGGAUGAGGAACGAAUGAGAUGUUGACUCGAGGAUCAUUACAUGUCUCUAGGGAUAAAUGGAUAAUUUUAAGUCAACAAUGAAGCUAAAGUUAUUUUCUAAGCAUCAAAACGGACAAGCGUUCACUCUUUUGAUGAUAUCUCAAGUUCUACAUAUCAGAAGAGACGAUUUUGAUUGGGCUAGAAAGUAGGCUUAAAGUGCUUUCCAACGGUAGGUCACAUGUCCCUAGGGGAAUUGUAGAACAAGAGUUAUGACAUAAACAAAGGUGAUUCGACUA